UGGGGAAUAUUGCACAAUGGGGGAAACCCUGAUGCAGCGACGCCGCGUGAGCGAAGAAGGCCUUCGGGUCGUAAAGCUCUGUCCUAUGAGAAGAUAAUGACGGUAUCAUAGGAGGAAGCCCUGGCUAAAUACGUGCCAGCAGCCGCGGUAAUACGUAUGGGGCGAGCGUUGUCCGGAAUUAUUGGGCGUAAAGGGUACGUAGGCGGUUUUUUAAGUCAGGUGUCAAAGCGUGGAGCUUAACUCCAUUAAGCACUUGAAACUGAAAGACUUGAGUGAAGGAGAGGAAAGUGGAAUUCCUAGUGUAGCGGUGAAAUGCGUAGAUAUUAGGAGGAAUACCGGUGGCGAAGGCGACUUUCUGGACUUUUACUGACGCUCAGGUACGAAAGCGUGGGGAGCAAACAGG
rnacentral:rRNA from 1 species